rnacentral:rRNA from 1 species
CGUAUCACUUAAAGCGAUUCAGCGGAUGACGAUUGACGGAGCGAAGCGACGUCAAAGCGUAUACAAAGUCGAGUCGGUUUAAGGAUACGUUCGUUGGGUAGGGGAGCGUUCUGUAAGCCUGCGAAGGUGGCCUGUGAGGGUUGCUGGAGGUAUCAGAAGUGCGAAUGCUGACAUAAGUAACGAUAAAGCGGGUGAAAAGCCCGCUCGCCGGAAGACCAAGGGUUCCUGUCCAACGUUAAUCGGGGCAGGGUGAGUCGACCCCUAAGGCGAGGCCGAAAGGCGUAGUCGAUGGGAAACGGGUUAAUAUUCCCGUACUUGGUGUUACUGCGAAGGGGGGACGGAGAAGGCUAUGUUGGCCGGGCGACGGUUGUCCCGGUUUAAGCGUGUAGGUGUGUGUUCCAGGUAAAUCCGGUUCACUUUAACACUGAGGCGUGACGACGAGGCACUACGGUGCUGAAGCAACAAAUGCCCUGCUUCCAGGAAAAGCCUCUAAGCAUCAGGUAACAUCAAAUCGUACCCCAAACCGACACAGGUGGUCAGGUAGAGAAUACCAAGGCGCUUGAGAGAACUCGGGUGAAGGAACUAGGCAAAAUGGUGCCGUAACUUCGGGAGAAGGCACGCUGACAUGUAGGUGAAGUGAUUUACUCAUGGAGCUGAAGUCAGUCGAAGAUACCAGCUGGCUGCAACUGUUUAUUAAAAACACAGCACUGUGCAAACACGAAAGUGGACGUAUACGGUGUGACGCCUGCCCGGUGCCGGAAGGUUAAUUGAUGGGGUCAGCGCAAGCGAAGCUCCUGAUCGAAGCCCCGGUAAACGGCGGCCGUAACUAUAACGGUCCUAAGGUAGCGAAAUUCCUUGUCGGGUAAGUUCCGACCUGCACGAAUGGCGUAAUGAUGGCCAGGCUGUCUCCACCCGAGACUCAGUGAAAUUGAACUCGCUGUGAAGAUGCAGUGUACCCGCGGCAAGACGGAAAGACCCCGUGAACCUUUACUAUAGCUUGACACUGAACAUUGAGCCUUGAUGUGUAGGAUAGGUGGGAGGCUUUGAAGUGUGGACGCCAGUCUGCAUGGAGCCGACCUUGAAAUACCACCCUUUAAUGUUUGAUGUUCUAACGUGGACCCGUGAUCCGGGUUGCGGACAGUGUCUGGUGGGUAGUUUGACUGGGGCGGUCUCCUCCUAAAGAGUAACGGAGGAGCACGAAGGUUGGCUAAUCCUGGUCGGACAUCAGGAGGUUAGUGCAAUGGCAUAAGCCAGCUUGACUGCGAGCGUGACGGCGCGAGCAGGUGCGAAAGCAGGUCAUAGUGAUCCGGUGGUUCUGAAUGGAAGGGCCAUCGCUCAACGGAUAAAAGGUACUCCGGGGAUAACAGGCUGAUACCGCCCAAGAGUUCAUAUCGACGGCGGUGUUUGGCACCUCGAUGUCGGCUCAUCACAUCCUGGGGCUGAAGUAGGUCCCAAGGGUAUGGCUGUUCGCCAUUUAAAGUGGUACGCGAGCUGGGUUUAGAACGUCGUGAGACAGUUCGGUCCCUAUCUGCCGUGGGCGCUGGAGAACUGAGGGGGGCUGCUCCUAGUACGAGAGGACCGGAGUGGACGCAUCACUGGUGUUCGGGUUGUCAUGCCAAUGGCACUGCCCGGUAGCUAAAUGCGGAAGAGAUAAGUGCUGAAAGCAUCUAAGCACGAAACUUGCCCCGAGAUGAGUUCUCCCUGAGACUUUAGGUCUCCUGAAGGAACGUUGAAGACGACGACGUUGAUAGGCCGGGUGUGUAAGCGCAGCGAUGCGUUGAGCUAACCGGUACUAAUGAACCGUGAGGCUUAACCUUACA